rnacentral:rRNA from 1 species
GAGCCUGGUCAUGCCAUCCUGAACACAUCCAAUCUCAUCUGAUCUCAGAAGCUAAACAGGGUUAGGCCUGGUUAGUACUCUGAUGGGAGGCAAGGUCUCUUAAUCA